rnacentral:rRNA from 1 species
CAUUACAAGUGACCCCGGUUUACCACCGGGAUGUUCAUAACCCUUUGUUGUCCGACUCUGUUGCCUCCGGGGCGACCCUGCCUUCGGGCGGGGGCUCCGGGUGGACACUUCAAACUCUUGCGUAACUUUGCAGUCUGAGUAAACUUAAUUAAUAAAUUAAAACUUUUAACAACGGAUCUCUUGGUUCUGGCAUCGAUGAAGAACGCAGCGAAAUGCGAUAAGUAAUGUGAAUUGCAGAAUUCAGUGAAUCAUCGAAUCUUUGAACGCACAUUGCGCCCCCUGGUAUUCCGGGGGGCAUGCCUGUUCGAGCGUCAUUUCACCACUCAAGCCUCGCUUGGUAUUGGGCAACGCGGUCCGCCGCGUGCCUCAAAUCGACCGGCUGGGUCUUCUGUCCCCUAAGCGUUGUGGAAACUAUUCGCUAAAGGGUGUUCGGGAGGCUACGCCGUAAAACAACCCCAUUUCUAAGGUUGACCUCGGAUCAGGUAGGGAUACCCGCUGAACUUAA